rnacentral:tRNA from 1 species
GGGUCUGUAGCUCAGUUGGUUAGAGCACACCCCUGAUAAGGGUGAGGUCGGAGGUUCAAGUCUUCCCAGACCCACCA